rnacentral:rRNA from 1 species
UGUUGAGGAAGAUAAUGACGGUACUCAACAAGGAAGUGACGGCUAACUACGUGCCAGCAGCCGCGGUAAAACGUAGGUCACAAGCGUUGUCCGGAAUUACUGGGUGUAAAGGGAGCGCAGGCGGGAARACAAGUUGGAAGUGAAAUCCAUGGGCUCAACCCAUGAACUGCUUUCAAAACUGUUUUUCUUGAGUAGUGCAGAGGUAGGCGGAAUUCCCGGUGUAGCGGUGGAAUGCGUAGAUAUCGGGAGGAACACCAGUGGCGAAGGCGGCCUACUGGGCACCAACUGACGCUGAGGCUCGAAAGUGUGGGUAGCAAACAGGAUUAGAUACCCUGGUAGUCCACACCGUAAACGAUGAUUACUAGGUGUUGGAGGAUUGACCCCUUCAGUGCCGCAGUUAACACAAUAAGUAAUCCACCUGGGGAGUACGACCGCAAGGUUGAAACUCAAAGGAAUUGACGGGGGCCCGCACAAGCAGUGGAGUAUGUGGUUUAAUUCGACGCAACGCGAAGAACCUUACCAAGUCUUGACAUCCCUUGACGAUGCUGGAAACAGUAUUUCUCUUCGGAGCAAGGAGACAGGUGGUGCAUGGUUGUCGUCAGCUCGUGUCGUGAGAUGUUGGGUUAAGUCCCGCAACGAGCGCAACCCUUAUGGUCAGUUACUACGCAAGAGGACUCUGGCCGGACUGC